rnacentral:rRNA from 1 species
GGCCUAACACAUGCAAGUCGAACGGAAAGGCUCCUUCGGGAGUGCUCGAGUGGCGAACGGGUGAGUAACACGUGGGUGAUCUGCCCUGCACUUUGGGAUAAGCCUGGGAAACUGGGUCUAAUACCGAAUACACCUUGCUGGCUGCAUGGCUGGUGGGGGAAAGCUUUUGCGGUGUGGGAUGGGCCCGCGGCCUAUCAGCUUGUUGGUGGGGUGAUGGCCUACCAAGGCGACGACGGGUAGCCGGCCUGAGAGGGUGUCCGGCCACACUGGGACUGAGAUACGGCCCAGACUCCUACGGGAGGCAGCAGUGGGGAAUAUUGCACAAUGGGCGCAAGCCUGAUGCAGCGACGCCGCGUGGGGGAUGACGGCCUUCGGGUUGUAAACCUCUUUCACCAUCGACGAAGCCUUUCGGAGUGACGGUAGGUGGAGAAGAAGCACCGGCCAACUACGUGCCAGCAGCCGCGGUAAUACGUAGGGUGCGAGCGUUGUCCGGAAUUACUGGGCGUAAAGAGCUCGUAGGUGGUUUGUCGCGUUGUUCGUGAAAUGCCACAGCUUAACUGUGGGCGUGCGGGCGAUACGGGCAGACUGGAGUACUGCAGGGGAGACUGGAAUUCCUGGUGUAGCGGUGGAAUGCGCAGAUAUCAGGAGGAACACCGGUGGCGAAGGCGGGUCUCUGGGCAGUAACUGACGCUGAGGAGCGAAAGCGUGGGGAGCGAACAGGAUUAGAUACCCUGGUAGUCCACGCCGUAAACGGUGGGUACUAGGUGUGGG